AUUUGUGUUCUCUUAGUGUCUGUAUAACAUCUGUCCAGGCUCUUCUGGCUUUCAUAGUCUCUGGUGAAAAGUCUGGUGUAAUUCUGAUAGGCCUUCCUUUAUAUGUUACUUGACCUUUCUCCCUUACUGCUUUUAAUAUUCUAUCUUUAUUUAGUGCAUUUGUUGUUCUGAUUAUUAUGUAUCGGGAGGAAUUUCUUUUCUGGUCCAGUCUAUUUGGAGUUCUGUAGGCUUCUUGUAUGAUCAUGGGCAUCUCUUUCUUUAUGUUUGGGAAGUUUUCUUCAAUUAUUUUGUUGAAGAUAUUAGCUGGCCCUUUAAGUUGAAAAUCUUCAUUCUCAUCAAUUCCUAUUAUCCGUAGGUUUGGUCUUCUCAUUGUGUCCUGGAUUUCCUGGAUGUUUUGAGUUAGGAUCCUUUUGCAUUUUGUAUUUUCUUUGACUGUUGUGUCGAUGUUCUCUAUGGAAUCUUCUGCACCUGAGAUUCUCUCUUCCAUGUCUUGUAUUCUGUUGCUGAUGCUCGCAUCUAUGGUUCCAGAUCUCUUUCCUAGGGUUUCUAUCUCCAGCGUUGCCUCGCUUUGGGUUUUCUUUACUGUGUCUACUUCCCUUUUUAGUUCUAGUAUGGUUUUGUUCAUUUCCAUUACCUGUUUGGAUGUGUUUUCCUGUGUUUCUUUAAGGACUUCUACCUGUUUGGCUGUUUUCCUGCUUUUCUUUAAGGGCCUGUAACUCUUUAGCAGUGCUCUCCUGUAAUUCUUUAAGUGACUUAUGAAAGUCCUUCUUGAUGUCCUCUAUCAUCAUCAUGAAAAAUGUUUUUAAAUCUGGGUCUAGAUUUUCGGUUGUGUUGGGGUGCUCAGGACUAGGUGGGGUGGGAGUGCUGCGUUUUGAAGAUGGUGAGUGGUCUUGAUUUCUGUUAGUAGGAUUCUUAGGUUUGCCUUUCGCCAUCUGGUAAUCUCUGAAGCUAGCUGUUAUAGUUGUCUCUGUUAAGAGCUUGUACUUCAGGUGACCCUGUUAGCCUCUAUAAGCAGACCUGGGAGGGUAGCACUCUCCUUGGUUUCAGUGGGUAGAGUAUUCUCUGCAGGAAAGCUCUCUUCUUGCAGGGAAGGUACCCAGAUAUCUGGUGUUCGAACCGGACUCCUGGCAGAAGUUGUGUUCCACUCACUAGAGGUCUUAGGAUCCCGUGGGGAAUCCUGUGUGGGCCCUUGCGGGUGUCAGGCGACUCUGCUGGCAAGGAAGCCCGGGGCUCGAGUGGAGCGGAAGGGGCUUUUGCCCCGGGUCAGGCCCGGGUAGUCUGCUUCCCUAUGUGCCGCAGUCUCAGGUUCCGCACGAUUGGAUUAGGGCUGGCGCUGUGUUCCACUCACCAGAGGUCUUAGGAUCCCAUGGGGAAUCCUGUGUGGGCCCUUGCGGGUGUCAGGCAACUCCGCUGGCAAGGAAGCCCGGGGCUCGAGUGCUGUUGUUUAUAUAUUAACUUUAGCUUUGACAUGAUGAACAUACUUCAGAUUGUUCAGAUCUUUGGCAGAAAAAGUGAAAUUGUUUUCUCUAUCCUUUAUCUUUUUUGGCAAUGAAAAAUGUACUGGUUUCUUUAUAUAAGCCUAAGUGUAAUUAAAGCAUAAUAAUUGACAACUUUUAAAAUAUUGCCUCGCCACCUUAGCAGAUAAUGACAAAUAUUUAUUAAGUCAUUAAUUUUGUUAACUGAACCAUCUGCCUUCCUCAGAAUUGUUUACUAUACUUCCUCUUGUGUUUCAAGGUUUUACUAAGCUUAUCUCUUUCUGCUCCAACAUUAGUGACUCAUUUGGUGCUGGCAAGAUUUGCCCAGCCUGUCUGCAUUUGUACAAGGUCUCUGUGUGAGGGUAGACCUUCAUUCAUAGGAAUAACUUUUCAAUGUAAUAUUUUCCUUUUGCAAAUGUGUAGACUCUAAUACUUACAUAGUUUCUAGUAAUAUUUGUAUCUUUGUUCUGAUCACAAGUAUUUCAAGAACAUGACCUGUUAAUACACAGGUUUCAAAUUCUGGAAUGUUUUAUGGAAAGAACACCAAUACAGACAGAAACAAAGUAUAAACAGAUUGUUGCCCCAGAAUUUGUUACUUCCAAGUGUGUGCUUAGCAUCAGUAAGAAUUUAGAAACUGGUAGCUAAGGAAAUGGCUUAGCAGUUAAGAGCAUUUCCUCAGAGAAGUGUUCCGACUAAAAGGUAAUAAAUAUACCAGAUAAAAACUUGGUUCUUCAUACCUGGACCUGUAAGCGCAUCCCAAAAGUUUUUUAAAGACUUCAGUACUAUACAGGUAUAAUCUAGUGACACAACAAUCUAAUUGUAUUGAAAAUUAGUAACAAUAAGAUAGCUAGGAAAAUUCCAGGUAUUUGGAAAUUAAAUGAUCUUCUUGGUUCAAAGAAGAAAUUACAAGAGAAUCAGAAAAGCUCGUGAGUGGUGGUGACAGCACACGUAUUACAUGUUGUGCUGCACCUUGGCUGGGCUUUGGGGGAAGUGUCUACCCUUCAGUGUCAACAGC
rnacentral:lncRNA from 1 species